GACGAACGCUGGCGGCGUGCCUAAUACAUGCAAGUAGAACGCUGAAGGAGGAGCUUGCUUCUCUGGAUGAGUUGCGAACGGGUGAGUAACGCGUAGGUAACCUGCCUGGUAGCGGGGGAUAACUAUUGGAAACGAUAGCUAAUACCGCAUAAGAGUAGAUGUUGCAUGACAUUUGCUUAAAAGGUGCAAUUGCAUCACUACCAGAUGGACCUGCGUUGUAUUAGCUAGUUGGUGAGGUAACGGCUCACCAAGGCGACGAUACAUAGCCGACCUGAGAGGGUGAUCGGCCACACUGGGACUGAGACACGGCCCAGACUCCUAAGGGAGGCAGCAGUAGGGAAUCUUCGGCAAUGGACGGAAGUCUGACCGAGCAACGCCGCGUGAGUGAAGAAGGUUUUCGGAUCGUAAAGCUCUGUUGUAAGAGAAGAACGAGUGUGAGAGUGGAAAGUUCACACUGUGACGGUAUCUUACCAGAAAGGGACGGCUAACUACGUG
rnacentral:rRNA from 1 species